UGUCAUCUGUUUUGAUCUUGAAUAAUUAAGCUGAGAAGAAAGUAACUUGCUGCAAAAGCUGCCUCAGGAGUUGCUCGGGUCGCGGCUGGCGGCAGACACGGCCGCGCCGCAGGGCUUUGCAAGGGCUCCACACUGACCACGCUGAAUCCAGCCGUUUGUCACUUAGGAAUGGAAAUAUUAGACUACCAAGCGGCAAAACAAGCAAAGGCACUACGUUUUCUUGCAUUUGUCAUGGUUUUCUUCUUCCCUGUAAAAGUCAUCAAGGGCUUUUGCAAUAACUGAUUGCUUGCAGUACUGGGAAGUGGCAAAAGCAACCUUAACUGAGAGAAACACUCGCAGGUCUCGGGAGAAACGCUCCUGACUCACUUCAAACCUGCAGGGCCCUGCAGAUCCCACGGCCGCAGGUGCUGAAGAUAACGGCAUUUGCUGCCGGUUUGGAUGCACUGUUAUUUCUGCUGCUGAGGGCCCUUCUCAGGAUCAAAGCUCUGCAGGCAAACACAGCUCGACAGCUAAAUCCCCUGGUAAUGACCCCUUCUGCACGGUCCUGCAUGUGCAUAGGUAGCUCGUUUGUGCAUGUAUCCAAAAGGGAACGACAACAAAAAAGUCUUCCUUAGGACUCAGCAGCAUUGCGGCUCAGCUCGAUGCUGCUUGCGAGCUCCCUGGGGUUUUGCUUUACGAGAGGCGUGCAACAGGAGCGCGAUGAACCCAGCUACCUGGCUGCGCUUCCACCCGGCGCAAGCCUCUGCAAACCUGCCACUUCGGGGCAAAAAAACCCAGCUUCACCGUAAAGAGUGCUCCACAGUAUUUAAGAUAGAAUUAAAGUGUAUUUAACUCGUAUAAGUGACAUGUAAUACAUAUAGGAGAUUAAAAAAAAAAAAAAAGAUGCCGAAGAUCUGCAAAAUACGAAGCAUUAAUCAAACCACCGCUCUGAAAGACUUUGCUGUGAAACCUCCAGCGAAUAGCUGCUGGUGCCCAGCCACAAGGCCUGGAUGAGUCGUCUCGGUGACACGUACUUUUGAACUAGCUAUAAGAGGCCAUUUGGGGCACGGAGAACGACCCUGUCGAGCUGGGACCAGUUUCUGCCGCAGCUGAUCCUGCAGAGCAUCUCGGCAUCUCAGUCCUUCACCUCUAAGACUAGAAUAUUGCACCCUUUUCUUAACGCUGGCCUAGCUUGUUAAACGAAAGCUUCAGAGCGUGGUCCACCUCUUCCUACGUUUCUGGAGCACGUAAUGUAACUCCAGGUGUGUUUGGGGAUAAGCUGCACCCAUCUGGAACACGUGCAACCAACGGAGACAAUCGGAGAAAACGGGGUUGAACGAGCUCUCGUGGCAAAGCGCCGCCUCCCUGCCCAUGACAAAACCAGCUGGCCCGAGACUGUCCUCGACCGUCCCUGUUUAACGCGCUCUUUGCAGCCCCCCAGUGAUGGAGAGCCUGAUGAAACGCCUCGAGCAGCCCCUGGCACAAGCCGCUGGGAGCCAGCGCUUCGCCUGUGCUUUCCUCCGCAAUUCCAGUGGUGCCGGAAUAAAAGAACUUCCCCUACAGAAGCGUGCACUCCUUCCUAAACUGCAGGGAGGGGUAUGUGCAUUGCCAACAGAGGAGCAAAUGUUUAAAAAAGAGGGAGGAAAACCUAAGGGUGCGGAAAGCAGCGCCCGUAAGAAGGUUUGCAAAUCGCUCCACGCAAUUGCAAGUGGCCAAGCAGCGCUCGUCCGAACUCUGCACCAGCCGUUUCGAGGGGGCAAAAGGCCUGCAGACUGGUGUGCAGAACAAGGGACCUGGGGGACCCGGCUGCUCAGCACUGGUCCUGCCACGGCCCCCAAAUUCAGGCACGCUGAGGGUACCCUUUGGCACCGCUUUGGUACCCUCUGCUCGCGAGCACAUCCUUCCCCGACGGCCGGAGCCCGCACAGCUGUGGGAGCUGCAGAGCUUCUCCACAGUGACCGAGGACAUAUCUUACACGCAAAAAUGUUGUUUAGAAGUGCUACAAUAUCAAGUGCUCUGAAGCUGGGCGGCAAUCUGAGAAGCUGGCACAGACGGGCCCCGAAUCUUGGAUGCAAACGCGUUUCCUUGUAAAGGGCUUCACCUGCCCCGCAGCAGACCGAGGCCAGCACGCAGCCCCGCCAUACGGCUCCCGGGGAUCCCUUCCACUGCUGGACUCGCCUCCGUUAUGGAUCCUGGGAGUCUAAGCGCAAGCUGCCCAUUUCGUUCACCAACUAGAGAAAACUUCUGUUUGAUCCCGGACCGCUGACUCCUGCCAGACGCUCUUACUGGAUACGUUAAAGCUUGAAAAAAAAACAAUAUACUUUGCAGUCUCAAG